rnacentral:misc_RNA from 1 species
GAACCUCUAUUGUUUGGUCCACUGGAGAAAGCUUAAUUGCCUAUCUGGUGCAGUCUUGCUGGGUGGUUAUACCAGCAAGGUUGGGUUCAGCCGACUCGUUGUUCUUCUCUCGAGAAGAGCAAUGAGCCCGCUGUAUCGGCCCCAAAAUCAACUGACCCCAACACCAAACCCAAACCUAUCAAUUGAAUACCAUGUGUAUCUGGUCUAGCCAGUGCAUUUAACAGAGAUAACUCUCAACAACGGAUAUCUUGGCUCUCGCAACGAUGAAGAACGCAGCGAAAUGCGAUACGUAGUGUGAAUUGCAGAAUUCCGUGAACCAUCGAAUCUUUGAACGCACAUUGCGCUUGAGGCUUCGGCCAAGAGCAUGUCUGCCUCAGCGUCGGGUUAAUAUCGCCUUCUUUAACCUUUAUGAUUAAAGUUGGGCGGAUCUGGCUGUUCCAGCUAUGCAGUAUGUUUGCCUUUACCGGUAAACGUACAUCACGCACCUGGAUCAGCUGAAGACCAGAGGCUAACCAAGGACCCGUCAAGGGCCGCAACUGGGUGGGCUGUCAAAAGCUAUAUUCUUAGUUGUUGGUCUGGGACUUUGUGUUCGGCCCUCAAACAGGAACCUAUUAACCUAUUUUCUCGACCUGAGCUCAGGCAAGAACACCCGCUGAACUUAAGCAUAUCAAU